CUCAGGGACGAAAGCGUGGGGAGCGAACAGGAUUAGAUACCCUGGUAGUCCACGCCGUAAACUAUGAUUACUCGUUGUCGGCGAUACACAGUCGGUGGCUAAGCGAAAGCGAUAAGUAAUCCACCUGGGGAGUACGAUCGCAAGGUUGAAACUCAAAGGAAUUGACGGGGGCCCGCACAAGCGGAGGAGCAUGUGGUUUAAUUCGAUGAUACGCGAGGAACCUUACCUGGGCUUAAAUGCAUAAUGACGUACUGGGAAACUGGUAUUUCUUCGGACAUUUUGCAAGGUGCUGCAUGGUUGUCGUCAGCUCGUGCCGUGAGGUGUCGGGUUAAGUCCCAUAACGAGCGCAACCCCUAUUGUUAGUUGCCAUCAGAUAAUGCUGGGGACUCUAACAAAACUGCCCGCGUAAGCGUGGAGGAAGGUGGGGAUGACGUCAAAUCAGCACGGCCCUUACGUCCAGGGCUACACACGUGCUACAAUGGCCGAUACAGAGGGCAGCCACUUGGUGACAAGGAGUAAAUCUCAAAAGUCGGUCUCAGUUCGGAUCGGAGUCUGCAACUCGACUCCGUGAAGUUGGAUUCGCUAGUAAUCGUAGAUCAGCAACGCUACGGUGAAUACGUUCCCGGGCCUUGUACACACCGCCCGUCAAACAAUGGGAGCUUGGGGGUACCUAAAGUCCGUAACCGUAAAGGAGCGGCCUAGGGUAAAACAAGUAACUGGUGUUAAGUCGUAACAAGGUAA
rnacentral:rRNA from 1 species